rnacentral:rRNA from 1 species
ACAUAGCUCUCUGCUAAAGCUAAAGGCUGAAGUAUGGAGGGUGAGGCCUGCCCAAUGGUUGUAUCUAAAAGAGUUGGCUAAGGUCAACUUCAUAAGGGCAAUUGAAUGGCCGCGGUAACACUGACCGUGAUAAUGUAGCGUAAUCAAUAGCCAAUUAAUUGUUGGCCGGUAUGAAUGGCGUUACGAAAGCCCCACUGUCUUAAGAGGACUCUCCAUGAAAUUGAAUUCGUAGUGAAGAUGCUACGUCCAUAUUGUAAGACGAAAAGACCCCAUUGAGCUUUACUAAAGACUUGCAUGGCUCAAAAUAAUUUGAUUUAAAUAAAGAGUUUAGAUAAUGUGGGAUCCGUUUCCGGUUAAUGAAACACCACUCUUUUAUUUUAAGAGAGCUAACAUUACAGGGAUAGUGUAAGUUGGAUAGUUUGGUUGGGGCGACCACCUUUUAAAAGGUAACGAGGGUGAGCUUAAGGUCCGUAGUUAAUAGCCGGUGGCCUGACUGCAAGGGGGACGUCUCGAGCAGACACGUCCUUAGGGAUGUGGACUAUAGUGACCCGUCAUCUUAGUGUGGAAUAGUUGACGAUCAACGAAUAAAAGCUACCAUGGGGAUAACAGCGUUAUAUCGUUAGAGAGUUUUUAUCGACGACGAUGUUUGCGACCUCGAUGUUGAAUUGCGGCACCCUGGGGUGCAGCCGCCCCCAAGGGUUGGUCUGUUCGUCCAUU